UAUCCGUUUCCGUUCGUUUUAUAGGAUAGCUCAGGCAGUCAAUGUUGCAGAGGUUAUCAGAACCAGUCCUCAUACAAUAGUGGUACCUCUGCAAGUCUAAGUGGGAACUCAAAUUGCUACGGUGGAGCGUGCCUUGCGACUUUUGAUGGUAGCUCAUCUUCAUCCAAGGCAAACCAUAACGUAUCAUCUUCAUCUCUAAUACCUUCGUGCGUAUUUGAUCAGUCUCAAGUCAAAAACAUCUCAGACAGUCAAUCUUGUGGAGGUCAUCUGAACCAGUCCGUAUACAAUUGUGGUAACUCUGCAAGUUUAAGUGGGAACUCAAGUAGCUACGGUGGAGCGUACCUUACGACUUAUGAUGGUAGCUCAUCUUCAUCCCAGCAAAACCAUGACAUCUCAUCAUUACCUCCAGUUCCUUCAUGCGCAUUUGAUGAGUCUCAGUGCAAAGCGAGUUUUAAUAAUAUCCCAUCCAACCCUGGGGCGCAUACUCCUGAAAUAGCCCCAUCAAUAGAUGACCUUUAUUCUGCAAACAUGUUCUCAAAUAAUUUUGCUGAUUUAGACUUCACCAUAUUAAGUUCGGACUCUAUUGCUCACUCGAGGUUUAGUCACGAUGACGGACCAAAUUUGUCAACAGCUCCAUUAUCACCCUUGAUGACACCGCACCCCGUCAUCUUUAACAAUGAAAUGAUAUCCACUCCCAAUAAGGAGCACCACUUUCCGCAACCUCCAGUGUUUGUAUCCUCAGCCGCGCCAAAAGUUGGGCAACAGGAAGGUCCGCCCAACAAAAAGUCUCGAGAAGGUUGGGAGGAGUGCUGGAUUUUUGAUCUGGAAAAUCCGUAAAGUCAGGAAUUAGAGGUGGUCCGGAAGUGUUGUAAAAAUUAGGAAAUUCCGCAGAACGGUCCGGACUUUUUCGCCUCAUACCACACGUAUUUUUCAGGAUAGCCUCGAAAGUAUGCAAUUCCUUGCGGAUUGACUCUGAGCGCAGUAUUUGCCCAUUAGAUGGCUAUUGUACAGCCAAUGUAUAUUCAGGCCACAAAUCAGCUCCAAAUCUCGUGGCUUCAUCAUUUUAGUCGCGAUUCUCCGGUGAAAUUCGAUUAUUCGGAAUUUCUAUGAUUCCGUCACCUGCAAGUACGGCAGGAGUGCCGAAUUUUCUGAUUGAGAAGUACUGGAUAUUUAUGAGAAGUGCUGACAAAGUCGAGUGAAAGUACUGAUUUUCUGGCAGCCAGUUUUAGUCGACACCCCAGUCGGCCCCAACACGGGAAGAAUAACUCUACACAGUCACAUGAUGAGGUUAGUACGUUAACUUUAAUGGGUAUUUUGUUUGUUAGAAGUUCCUUUGCA
rnacentral:lncRNA from 1 species